UUAUGGCCAUAUCAUGUUGAAACACCGGUUCCCAUACGAUCACUGAAGUUAAGCAACAUCAAGCCUGGUCAGUACCUAGAUGGGUGGGUGACU